rnacentral:rRNA from 1 species
GACGAACGCUGGCGGCGUGCUUAACACAUGCAAGUCGAGCGGUAAGGCCUUUCGGGGUACACGAGCGGCGAACGGGUGAGUAACACGUGGGCGACCUGCCCUCCACUCUGGGAUAAGCCCGGGAAACUGGGUCUAAUACCGGAUAUGACCUCUCAUCGCAUGGUGGGGGGUGGAAAGUUUUUCGGUGGGGGAUGGGCCCGCGGCCUAUCAGCUUGUUGGUGGGGUGAUGGCCUACCAAGGCGACGACGGGUAGCCGGCCUGAGAGGGCGACCGGCCACACUGGGACUGAGACACGGCCCAGACUCCUACGGGAGGCAGCAGUGGGGAAUAUUGCGCAAUGGGCGGAAGCCUGACGCAGCGACGCCGCGUGGGGGAUGACGGCCUUCGGGUUGUAAACCUCUUUCGCCAGGGACGAAGCGUGAGUGACGGUACCUGGAUAAGGAGCACCGGCCAACUACGUGCCAGCCGCCGCGGUAA